CGUUCCCAGUCCAUCACAAGGCUCAUCCAACAAUCAGAGGCCAGCCCAACACCCUGAUUUCUCAGCCCUUAGGCAGCCUUAGGAGGCCUCACAAGAGAGCUCGCCGCCCCACCUCUGCCCGCCCGCCUGCCCAGACUGUCACCUGAGUGUAGUGGCCGCACAUCUGGUUCGGAUCGCAGGUGGCCGUGCUGAAAUUGUAAUACUCAUGCUCCUCGUGCCAGUUCCCCACGGCCAGCGGCACGUCCAUGCCCUCGUCCGUGAUGGCAAACAAGUUCUCUCCGCGCCGCCCGCGUUCUUUGUUGUGGCCCCACACGCACUUCUGAGCGUAGGCCUUGGCGAAGGCGGCCAGCUCGUCAUCCCACCUCUGCAGGGACGCAAGGGAGGCAAGACAGGGAGGUGAGACUCCUGCGAAGGGCAGUUUUGCUUAGAGAGCCUCCGAGGUUCCUUGUCCUUGGCUGGGAGAAGACGGAGCAAGUGUGCAGCAUGAGAGGGGAACUUAAGGCAUCUGACCCCAAGGACUAAGGAGGAAGACCUGGAUCCCAUUAAACUCCGAUGCCUGCUGUGGCUCUUGUUCCACCAACUUGACAGCCCCACCAAAAGCAGCAGCAGAAGCUUGGGGUGUCAUUGCGGGGAGAACUGUGUGACCAUGCCCACUUCCCACCCGCUCAGUGCUUUAGCUUCCUGCAACCCUCGUGGGAUCCUGAAUGGGGACAGUACCAGGGCUGUGCCUUGAUGAGAUGUUCUCUCUCUCUCUCUCUCUCUCUCUCUCUCUCUGGUCAUUUUAAAAAAUUAAUUCUGCACUUACUUUUAGGUAUGUGCGAAUGCAGGUGCACGCCUAACAGUGCCUGCACGAAAGAGGACAGCCUCUGGGGAGGGAACUCAGCUCCUCUGAGUUGCUUGGCCAGGUGUUUUGAGGAACACCUGGCUAGC
rnacentral:lncRNA from 1 species